UCAAGAGUACGUGAAACCGUUCAGGGGUAAACCUGAGAAACCCAAAAGAUCGAAUGGGGAGAUUCACCGUCAGCGCGGCUGGCUUCCGUGCGGCUCGCGAUGGCCGGGACCUGGUCUCGCGUCACGCGGCGCUGCGGUAUGUCCGGCUGCGUCGGCGUGCACUUCUCCCCUAGUAGGACGUCGCGACCCGUUGGGUGUCGCCGAUGGUCGUUUGGUCGCCUGUCUCGUCGCGUUCGCGCGCACGGGGCAGACCGAAGUCGAGUGUCCGGCUGCCCGGCGGUAUAGAACGCGAACGGUAAUGAGCCGCAUAAGUGCGUUAGGCGCGUCGGCAGGCUCGUCUCGCCCGGAUACGGACCUAGCGCCGUUGCCGGGUGCUUGGCGGGCCUUAGUCGACGCUGUCCUCGGACUGGCUCUAAAUUCGAAAGGAUUACCGGUCGGCGACGCUACUGCUUUGGGUACUUUCAGGACCCGUCUUGAAACACGGACCAAGGAGUCUAACAUGUGCGCGAGUCAUUGGGACUUGAAGCCUAAAGGCGCAAUGAAAGUGAAGGUCGGCCCAGCCGACCGAGGGAGGA
rnacentral:rRNA from 1 species